GUGGGGAAUAUUGGGCAAUGGGCGAAAGCCUGACCCAGCAACGCCGCGUGAAGGAAGAAGGUUUUCGGAUCGUAAACUUCUAUCCUUGGUGAUGAUAAUGACGGUAGCCAAGAAGGAAGCCCCGGCUAACUACGUGCCAGCAGCCGCGGUAAUACGUAGGGGGCAAGCGUUGUCCGGAAUGAUUGGGCGUAAAGGGCGCGUAGGCGGCCCGGUAAGUCUGAAGUGAAAGUCCUGCUUUUAAGGUGGGAAUUGCUUUGGAUACUGUCGGGCUUGAGUGCAGGAGAGGUAAGCGGAAGUCCCGGUGUAGCGGUGAAAUGCGUAGAGAUCGGGAGGAACACCAGUGGCGAAGGCGGCUUACUGGACUGUAACUGACGCUGAGGCGCGAAAGUGUGGGGAGCAAACAGGAUUAGAAACCCCGGUAGUCC
rnacentral:rRNA from 1 species